UGGGGAAUAUUGGACAAUGGGCGAAAGCCUGAUCCAGCCAUGCCGCGUGUGUGAAGAAGGUCUUCGGAUUGUAAAGCACUUUAAGUUGGGAGGAAGGGCAGUAAGUUAAUACCUUGCUGCUUUGACGUUACCGACAGAAUAAGCACCGGCUAACUCUGUGCCAGCAGCCGCGGUAAUACAGAGGGUGCAAGCGUUAAUCGGAAUUACUGGGCGUAAAGCGCGCGUAGGUGGUUUGUUAAGUUGGAUGUGAAAGCCCCGGGCUCAACCUGGGAACUGCAUCCAAAACUGGCAAGCUAGAUUACGGUAGAGGGUGGUGGAAUUUCCUGUGUAGCGGUGAAAUGCGUAGAUAUAGGAAGGAACACCAGUGGCGAAGGCGACCACCUGGACUGAUACUGACACUGAGGUGCGAAAGCGUGGGGAGCAAACA
rnacentral:rRNA from 1 species